GACGAACGCUGGCGGCGUGCUUAACACAUGCAAGUCGAACGGAAAGGCCCUGCUUUUGUGGGGUGCUCGAGUGGCGAACGGGUGAGUAACACGUGAGUAACCUGCCCUUGACUUUGGGAUAACUUCAGGAAACUGGGGCUAAUACCGGAUAGGAGCUCCUGCUGCAUGGUGGGGGUUGGAAAGUUUCGGCGGUUGGGGAUGGACUCGCGGCUUAUCAGCUUGUUGGUGGGGUAGUGGCUUUCCAAGGCUUUGACGGGUAGCCGGCCUGAGAGGGUGACCGGCCACAUUGGGACUGAGAUACGGCCCAGACUCCUACGGGAGGCAGCAGUGGGGAAUAUUGCACAAUGGGCGGAAGCCUGAUGCAGCAACGCCGCGUGCGGGAUGACGGCCUUCGGGUUGUAAACCGCUUUCGCCUGUGACGAAGCGUGAGUGACGGUAAUGGGUAAAGAAACACCGGCGAACUACGU
rnacentral:rRNA from 1 species